UUCCAGUGCGCCAGCCUACAAUUGCCCAUUACGAAGAAGUGGCCUGAACGCGUCGCCUCUUCCUCCUCGAGACGAGCGUGACAAUUUGUUAGCCCAAUCAAACCUAUUGCCAGCGUCCGUAGACUGGUCGUUGGAUCGGACAAGAUCGAGGGCAUUGUAUCCGGAUAGAAUCGGUAUCGAGAAUAAGGUAAAACUCGGGGGAAAUGAAGAAGAGGGAGAUUACAUUUUUCUGCAUAAUGGUGCACCGAGUUAACACUGUCACCGAGUUCCUGAUUGAUCAGCGCAGGAACCUCUUCCUCCUGGAGAUAAUGGCUACCACACGAACCCCAUAGAGAACUUAUGGGCUAUAUAGCGAGGAAAAGGAUCGGGUAAUGCACCAUAAUCGUAAAGCCGAGAGAAAAGCUUCUCGAAUAGUAGAACGAAGGAAUAAAGAACUGUUGUAAAACAUUGGUUAACAAGGAUGGAAAAUACAACCUUCCUGGAACGUAA